AUGGCUCCUCGCAUCACUCAGCCUCGGCGCCCCGGGCUGCUCUCGCCGCUGACCGCAACCGUUGACGUUGACCCCACGCCGCGCCAUGGCCGACGGGCUCGCCUGCCGUCUCCGGUCAGGCGGCUCCUGCCCCCGCUCCUGCGCCGGCACAGGAUGGCGCUGCUCACGGCGCCCGCGGUCUUCGCGGCCCUCCUGCUCUUCUGGGCCGUGCUCGGCGGCACCGACGCCGACUACGUGCUGUACAAGGACGCCACCAAGCCCGUGGAGGACCGCGUGGCUGACCUCCUGGGGCGGAUGACGCUGGCGGAGAAGAUCGGGCAGAUGACCCAGAUCGAGCGGCUCGUGGCCACGCCGGACGUGCUCCGGGACAACUUCAUCGGCAGCCUGCUCAGCGGCGGCGGCAGCGUGCCGCGCAAGGGCGCCACGGCCAAGGAGUGGCAGGACAUGGUGGACGGCUUCCAGCGGGCCUGCAUGUCCACGCGCCUCGCCAUCCCCAUGAUCUACGGCAUCGACGCCGUCCACGGCCAGAACAACGUCUACGGCGCCACCAUCUUCCCCCACAACGUCGGCCUCGGCGCCACCCGGGACCCUUACCUCGUGAAGAGGAUCGGCGAGGCCACCGCGCUCGAAGUCAGGGCCACCGGCAUCCAGUACGCCUUCGCGCCAUGCAUCGCGGUGUGCAGAGAUCCGAGGUGGGGGCGGUGCUACGAGAGCUACAGCGAGGAUCGCCGGAUCGUGCAGUCCAUGACGGAGCUCAUCCCGGGCCUUCAGGGCGACGUGCCCAAGGGCUUCACCAGCGGCAUGCCCUUCGUCGCCGGAAAGAACAAGGUGGCAGCCUGCGCGAAGCACUUUGUGGGCGACGGCGGCACGGUGGACGGCAUUAACGAGAACAACACCAUCAUCAACCGCGAGGGCCUGAUGAACAUCCACAUGCCGGCGUACAAGAACGCCAUGGACAAGGGCGUCUCCACUGUCAUGAUCUCCUACUCCAGCUGGAACGGCGUCAAGAUGCACGCCAACCAAGACCUCGUCACCGGAUACCUCAAGGACACGCUCAAAUUCCAGGGCUUCGUGAUCUCGGACUGGGAGGGUAUUGACAGGAUCACCACCCCUGCGGGAUCUGACUACUCCUACUCGGUCAAGGCUUCCAUUCUUGCCGGCCUUGACAUGAUCAUGGUGCCCAACAACUACCAGCAGUUCAUCAGCAUCCUGACUGGCCACGUCAACAGCGGCGUGAUCAACAUGAGCAGGAUCGACGACGCCGUGACCCGGAUUCUGCGGGUCAAGUUCACCAUGGGCCUCUUCGAGAACCCCUACGCUGACCCUGCCAUGAUGGAGCAGCUAGGAAAGCAGGAGCACAGGGAUCUGGCGAGGGAGGCGGCGAGGAAGUCGCUGGUGCUCCUGAAGAACGGCAAGACCGCGACCGACGCGCCGCUGCUGCCGCUGCCCAAGAAGGCGCCCAAGAUCCUGGUCGCCGGGAGCCACGCCGACAACCUGGGAUACCAGUGCGGCGGGUGGACGAUCGAGUGGCAGGGCGACACGGGCCGCACCACCGUGGGCACCACCAUCCUGGACGCCGUGAAGGCCGCCGUGGACCCGUCGACGGUCGUGGUGUUCGCCGAGAACCCCGACGCGGAGUUCGUCAAGGGCGGCGGCUUCUCCUACGCGAUCGUGGCGGUGGGCGAGCACCCGUACACGGAGACCAAGGGCGACAACCUGAACCUGACCAUCCCGGAGCCCGGGCUGAGCACCGUGGAGGCGGUGUGCGGCGCCGUGCGGUGCGCGACGGUGCUCAUCAGCGGCCGGCCCGUGGUGGUGCAGCCGCUGCUGGCGGCCUCGGACGCGCUGGUGGCGGCGUGGCUCCCCGGCUCGGAGGGGCAGGGCGUCACCGACGCGCUGUUCGGGGACUACGGGUUCACCGGGAAGCUGCCGCGGACGUGGUUCAAGUCGGUGGACCAGCUGCCGAUGAACGUCGGCGACAAGCACUACGACCCGCUCUUCCCGCUCGGCUACGGGCUCACCACCAAAGGGACGAAGCAGUACUAG
rnacentral:rRNA from 1 species